UAGGGAAUCUUCGGCAAUGGGGGGAACCCUGACCGAGCAACGCCGCGUGAGUGAAGAAGGUUUUCGGAUCGUAAAGCUCUGUUGUUAAGGAAGAACGAGUGUGAGAAUGGAAAGUUCAUGCUGUGACGGUACUUAACCAGAAAGGGACGGCUAACUACGUGCCAGCAGCCGCGGUAAUACGUAGGUCCCGAGCGUUGUCCGGAUUUAUUGGGCGUAAAGCGAGCGCAGGCGGUUAGAAAAGUCUGAAGUGAAAGGCAGUGGCUCAACCAUUGUAGGCUUUGGAAACUGUUUAACUUGAGUGCAGAAGGGGAGAGUGGAAUUCCAUGUGUAGCGGUGAAAUGCGUAGAUAUAUGGAGGAACACCGGUGGCGAAAGCGGCUCUCCGGUCUGUAACUGACGCUGAGGCUCGAAAGCGUGGGGAGCGAACAGG
rnacentral:rRNA from 2 species